rnacentral:misc_RNA from 1 species
GAUGAAGAACGCAGCGAAAUGCGAUAAGUAAUGUGAAUUGCAGAAUUCAGUGAAUCAUCGAAUCCUUGAACGCACAUUGCGCCCGCCAGUAUUCUGGCGGGCAUGCCUGUCUGAGCGUCAUUUCAACCCUCAUGCCCCUAGGGCGUGGUGUUGGGGAUCGGCCAAAGCCCGCGAGGGACGGCCGGCCCCUAAAUCUAGUGGCGGACCCGUCGUGGCCUCCUCUGCGAAGUAGUGAUAUUCCGCAUCGGAGAGCGACGAGCCCCUGCCGUUAAACCCCCAACUUUCCAAGGUUGACCUCAGAUCAGGUAGGAAUACCCGCUGAACUUAAGCAUAUCAAUAAGCGGAGGA